GGGAGAUUAUAGCGGGUCCUGCUGAAAGGUGAACUGUCAGGCUGGAGGGAGGUUACCAGUGGAGUUCCUCAGGGAUCAAUCUUUGGGACCAAUCUUAUUUCAUCUCCCUCCCUCAGCUCAGUGAUGGCCUGAAUUGCCCCUUCUCCCGGCAGAGCCAGAGGAUUGGAAGUAGCAACAUCAGACCCCUGUGUGGCUCGCAGGAAUGAACACAAACACGCCCUUGUAGCUGGACAGAUGGGAGCCCGAGAGCUCAGGUGCUGGAGCGCUGCGUUUGUCAGUGAAGCUCGUACCAAGGAAAAAGAAGUCAAGCCUCAGAGUCUCCUGCCCUCAUGCGACGGAAAGUGAGUGAGAGCAGCGAGCCUGUGACCGUUGGUGAUGCCAGGCAAGAGGCCUCCAUCUGGGAGCCGAGCAAUCGCCAGUCUCGGUGAGGUAAGUGUCUGGUUUGGUGAGGACUCUGCUCACGCCCCACCUGAGUCCGGGUAGGGAAGCCCCGUAAAUUAGGGUUCGGUUUGUAAGAAAAGGUUCCUGAUCAGCUGUGGUUACGAGGGAGAAAAGGUCCCAUUUUCAGAGGCUGCUCGUUUCUCUGGUCAGGAACGGUGUCUUCUCCGCAGCUGAAGGUUGGAUCCAAGAGGAUGACUCCAGGUGGUGAGUGGCUUGCCCUGCUCUCAUGUUUCUCUGUCUUCUCUCAUGUGUUCGCCAACUCUCUCUUUCUCUUCUCUCCUCUGCUCUCC